GGGAACUUUUCCUUGGGUAAGGAAUUGACACCUAAACUCCCCAGCAGCUGGACGGAAGAAGGGUCCCCAGAAGCCUGGCUGCUGAUCACUCAAAAUCAUCUCAGACUUUGGCUUGAAGAAACUCUGGCCAACACUAGAGAAACUGGAAUUGUCUGUCUGCAGGCCUGGGAAGAAAGCACUUCAUUGAUAACAAAGGGAACAAGCAGCAUUGGUCAAGAUCUACACCUCAUGACAAAGAGCUCAAGCAUCUAGAUCUCAUCAACCAUAAGAGCUAUAUGCUGGCCACACUUCACUUCAAGUCUUUAGUGCAGUGUUGCAGACUAACUGAAGAGAGAUGUAUUUUUCAUGGUCAUUUCAAAAUACGGUACAGUCACACAUACAUUCUCAUUUAUGCAUGUGUAUGAAAGGUUAAAUAUGUAAUAGCCUUAACAUUUCAAAAUGUGAAUUCUUAAAGGCCUUAAAUAGAUUUGUUAAAUACACAGUAUCUUCCUUCCAGAAAGAUUGCUCACUUCAUUGAAUUCUACAGUUUUCUUCAUUAUGAAACCAUACAGUAAGUAGUAAAGCAUAUUGAACAGCUUUU